CUGUUAUUGGAAUCCUUCGCCGAAUCCUGCAGACCCAUAAAUCAAAACGUUUCUCCACCAUCAUAAAGUAAGCACUUUUAAAUUCUUUUUUAUUGAAAAUUCACUCUGCCAUAAUCAAAUUCGCAAAAUAAUUAAUUUGUCAUAUUAUCUUCUCUGACUGACGCGAUAAUCGCUUAAGCGAUUUUGGCUGUGCUCAACUAAGCGCGCCAAAUAUUUUUAUUUUCUUUUGAUAUUACAACUGAUUUCUUAAUGUCUCAAGAAGCAUUUUGGUUUAAAAAAUUCGCACAGAUUUAAAUGUAAAUAUUAUUGACAAUAAAUAUUUACUAUCUAUCUUAUUAUACGUUCACAUAUAAGUAGAUUAUCUACUUUUUCGUGCUUAACUUCCAAUCCGUAAUUAAAACACGAGAUUACUCAUACAAAAUUACUAUCCGUAAAUCUGAGAUUAUAAAAUAAUCCUAUAUUAUAACAAUAACUUUUAUACAUACAACCCUGUGUUAUCGAUAAUUAUUUUUACGAAUGUAAGCAAAAUAAAGACUAAAUAAACCGGAUGCCGGCAAAGAAAACAGGUUUGUAGACAUAAUUGUAAUACAAUUUUUGUUAAAACUUUUUAAUUGUGCACUCAUUUUACAUAAAAAAACGAUAGCACUUUUCCAGAGAAGCAGUCGAAUUUCUUUUGGACUUGUCACGGAGUUGUUCUUGUUUUACAGAGAUGAAGGUUGUUGGGCCUUCAGACGGUACCCCAUCGGUGUGGAAGUAGUUCAGUAAAGUAAACCAUCUGGUCGUUGAGUUGUAAGGCAGAGGCUUCGUAAUAAACUGGGUAAAGCGAAUUGUAGAAGCUCUCAGCACAAUGCCUGGAACAUUUGUACUAAAAAUUUGAAUCGUGUUCUCGCUUUAAGCGCUUUGAGGAAUUUUACUUUAAGAACGACUGCUCGAAAGUUUGGGAACCAAAAACCAAAAAUCAAAAAAAUCAAAAAUACUCUACCAAACCAAUUUCUAAGACGAAAAAUCUUUUAAAACAGUAUUGGCAGCUGAUUGUUAAUUUUGCAGGUAAUCCGCAAUACGUGAAUGGGUAGAUUAAAUUUUGGGGAUUUAAGAACUGCAUAUGUCAACGUACUUUUACGUAUAAUAUUUUAGGUACAUUACUUUUCGGAACAUACAGAUCAAGCAAUCCAAUUACAAAAUAAAAAUUAAGUGCAUUAAAGAGCUUUGUAUAUAAACUAUAUCUAACUAUUUAUUAACUGCGGUGGAUCUUUGCAUUUUGGCUUUAGUUGUUUUUGGUUUUCUUGUAAGGGCAGCAACCCCAUUAUGUGUGACAGUAGCCGAUUGAUAUGCUUUAUAGGCCUGCCACAAUAUGUAUGUACGAAAGCAACAACAAAGUUAUAGAGCAAGAUUUACCACUAGCGAGUAUAACUAUAACUCAUUUGACUAGUACAACAGGGAGUUAGUUAUACAAGCACAAAUAGUUUCAGGCAGCCCUAUUCCAUCGUUGCCAAUAUAUUGUAUAUCCAUUUAUACUAGUUGCUUCAUCUAUUCGCUACUUGCUAACGCUUGGGGAACAGAAAAGCGCUAAUAUUGCAAAGGUCGCAUAAUGAUAGGCGUUCUUGAUGCAAAUCAUCCGGAAGGCAUAAUUCCAAAGUCGCAAUGGAAAUGGGUUGAAAUAUCGUUAACGAAAGUAACGAGUGAGUCUAAAUGCUCCGAAAAGAAGCUUUAUGCGAAAUAAGGGAAGAUACGGACGUAAUAUUAACAUCGGAUGCAUCUUCUUCAGAUUAAUUUACAUAAGUGCAAAGAAGACCAACCAGAUGUCGUCAUUCAGGAACCAUGGACACACGGACCUGGAUACAAACUAUACAAUGCUUACUGCGAAGGUACUAAAAGAGCAUUACUGAAGACACGACUACGGUCAGUUGAGAAGCAAGCGGAAGCAGCUGCUGGCUGACCUCGUUUUACUUUGCCGACGAUGACACAGGACCACUACCGUCGCAGCUAAUAAGAACGCUUUUAUGGAGAACUGCGAAGCUCGAAAGCGUGAGAUUAUCCUAUGAGGGAGUACGUACAUCAAUGAAUUGGAGUGCAAGCCGAUCUCAACUCCAAUUCUCAAGAACUCAGAAACUUUGGGACCAGGGAAAGAUGAUCAUAAGUCAGAGAAGUUUCCCUACCGACAGGCAGUCGGAAAUCUAAUGUAUCUCAUGCUUGGUUCAAGACCUGAUCUGGCAUACAGCAUAGGAUUUGUAUCCAGAUCCCUGGAGAACCCCUCCUCUGAAGAUAUCGUCCGAAUCAAGAGCAUUUUUCGAUGCAUAGCAGGGACUUUAGAUUUGGGCCUAGUUUAUCAACGAAACAAGAAAAAAGGUAUUCUGGAGGUUUACAGCCAUGCAGAUUUUGGAGGAUGUUUGAGAACAGGUCGCUCAACUUCUGGAGUCAUCGUCAAAUACGCAGGAGGAGCAAUUUCCUGGCUAAGAAAAUGGCAGACAGGGUAGCGAGCUCCACGACGGAAACAGAAAUUAUAGCAGCAAGCAAGGCAGCCAAAGAAACCAUUUGGUUAAGUAGACUUUUUCGUGCAAUCGUAAAACUAAAACAUGUCCCUAUUGUUCAAGUUGACAACAAUGCAGCGGUGAGACUUGCACAGAAUCCAGAGUUCCACCGCAGAACGAAGCAUAUAGCAAUGAAACACUUUUUCAUCCGGGAUAAAAUUUCCAAAGGACGACUGGGAAUUGAACGAGUUUCCACGGAUCAAAACACAGCUGAUAUUAUGACGAAGCCUCUACCAAGAACCCGUUUGAAGAUUCUUUGUAUAAAAAUGGGACUAUCAUAGAUAUAUGUAUUCAUAAAUAUAUUAAGUUUCUUUUUGUCUGCCGCUUCCAUUAUUAAUAUUAUUUUAUGACUUAAGAUUCAACUUUAAUUAACAAGGGAAAGUGUUAAGGUAAUAAGUUGCAAUAUUGUUAGAAUUCAAGUUGAUUCAGAGAUAAUCGCACAGAUGGCGCGUCGAUGUCGAUUCAAGCAAUUCAAGACCUCUGGUAGCUCUGCCUCUUGCGAUGAUUUGCAAUUUCUUAUAUAUAUGUAUAUACUAUAUUAGUUACACUUGAAGCGAACAGAGAAACUCGAAGCUUUGCCAUUUUAUUUUUUACCGAAGAAUUUUGUAACGCUAUUAAAUCAAGCAAGUAGAAUUU